ensembl:lncRNA LINC00906 long intergenic non-protein coding RNA 906
CCUGAGAGGCAGUCCCUGCAGCAGGCUUGAGCCUCUCUCACUGACAGCCUGCCUCGCAUAAUGUUAAGCAGGCAUCGGACACUUGCUGGAAGGCAGGGAAUUGCAAUGAAAGAGCACGGAGGUGAGAAGCUGUGCUCCUUGGGGUGAAGGCAGCUUCUGUGCUCCUGGGAUCUACUGUUAAGCCAGGGUGACGCCAGCUUGCAUGCUACCGGAGGGGAAGAGAAAAUUUGGACACACAGGGAGAAAACCACAGGGAGGAGAUGGCCAUCUACAAUUCCAGAAAAGCAGCCUCAGAAGAAACCAAUCUGCAAACAUCUUUAUCUGCAACUCCCUGCCUCCCAAAUGGGUGUCUGCUGUCAGAGAUGGGCAAGGAUGGGUGUCAGCCAUUGGAGAGCUGUUCCAGGGAGGGAGCCCGACCACUCUCUGGCCUUAGCCAGCCCAGUCAGCACUGGAGAAAGACCUCAUCCAACGCUGAAAUAGAUGGUGCUAGUGUAUGCAUUACAAUAGCAGAAACAGGGUCUUGCUAUGUUGACCAGGCUGAUCUCAAACUUCUGACCUCAAGCAGUCCUUCCACCUCAGCCUCCUGAAACACUGGGAUUACAGGCCAGAGCCACCAUGCCAGGCUAUGAAGUUUUAUUUUAAGUUUCGAGAUGUGGGGAUUUCUUUUUUAAAGCAGCAAGUACUACCUGAACUAAAACGGGUGAUUUUGCAACUUGCUACGGAUUAUGGAAAUAGUUGGCAUCUAUAUUGGUGAGGUACCCACCAAAACUCAAACAGAAGGAAUGCCAUUUUGGAGAACGAAUCUCAACUUUAACCUUCUUUCAUCCGUGGGAGUAAAGAGACAGAAAGGGAAUGAAUUUCCAAGAAGACCAGCGUAGAACGGAAAAAUAUCAGAGGAGGGAGAAUUGUUAAGGAUUUCCAGUAUCUCAAGUGUGGAUGCUGUCCUGAGCUGACCCAAGGCUCUGGAAAGGUAGGAGCUCUCUUUUGGGGGAAGAAGGGAAGAAUCCCAUUCCUGAAUGAGCAGGUGCAGACACUUGCAAGAUAAGAGGCACACACAGAGAUGUUUACCUGAAGAACUGCCUGGUGGAUGGCUAAGAAAGUGGCCCUGCCUAACACACACGUACGGAGAGACGGAGUUUGCAGCAAGACAGUGAAUUAUCUGCUUCUCAGUGGUGGCAGGGCCCUGUGAGUAGAAUCCUUACAUGUCCUCUUCCAUGGGCUUGUGGGAUAAGAGCAGAGCAGCCUGUAGGCCUGUCCAUCCCCAGCCUUGAGGUAAAUCCCACCAGUGAACAAGAUCCACCCAUCCACCCAGAGCUCCCUAUUAGCCUUGUGAGAGAAUGGCCAGAAAUAAAACAGAAACUCCUUUAUUCACAAAUCCCUAAUUUAUAAAUACUUUGAAACAAUGAAGAAUUGCCAGCUGCUGUGGUAAACAGAGCACAGAAGAGAGGUGAGUAAAGGUUCUAGUUAGCACUCGCUGAGCACUUUGUGCUGGCACUUUUCUAAAGAUUUUGCAAAUGUUAACUGAUGUAAUUCUCACAUCCAUUCUCUGGGGUGGUUUUCUUUUUCUUUUUUUUUUUUUUUGAGAUGGAGUCUCGCUCUGUCGCCCAGGCUGGAGUGCAGUGGCGUGAUCUCGGCUCACUGCAAGCUCCGCCUCCCGGGUUCACGCCAUUCUCCUGCCUCAGCCUCCUGAGUAGCUGGGACUACAGGCGCCCGCCACCACACCCGGCUAAUUUUUUGUAUUUUUUAGUACAGACGGGGUUUCACCGUGUUGGCCAGGAUGGUCUCGAUCUCCUGACCUCGUGAUCCGCCCACCUAGCCCUCCCGAAGUGCUGGGAUUACAGAGGUGAGCCACCACGCCUGGCCUCUGGGGUGGUUUUCACAAAGGAGGAAACCAAAGCACAAAGCCUAGGUGGCUCGCUCUAGGUCAACAACAAGCCAAUGCCAGAGCUGGGAUGAGAACCCAGGUUCUGUGUCUGUCAUGAACAUACACUGCGUGGCUCUGAAGAGAACAGAGAAAGUCAAAAGGAGAUAAUUUCUUAUAGACUUUAAAUAAUUUUUCCAGAGAAAUUCAAGAAAACAUCACAUCCAUAGAAACAAAACAAAGCCAAGUUGCUAUAUAAAAGAAACAAUAUGUAAAUGAGAACAAAUCAUUGGAAA